GGAGGAAAAGAAACUAACAAGGAUUCCCCUAGUAACGGCGAGUGAAGCGGGAAGAGCUCAAAUUUGUAAUCUGGCGGCCUUUGGCCGUCCGAGUUGUAGUCUCGAGAAGCGUCUUCUGCGUCGGACCGUGUACAAGUCCCUUGGAACAGGGCGUCGUAGAGGGUGAGAAUCCCGUCUUUGACACGGACUGCCGGUGCUCUGUGAUGCGCUCUCAAAGAGUCGAGUUGUUUGGGAAUGCAGCUCAAAACGGGUGGUAAAUUCCAUCUAAAGCUAAAUAUUGGCGAAAGACCGAUAGCGAACAAGUACCGUGAGGGAAAGAUGAAAAGCACUUUGGAAAGAGAGUUAAACAGUACGUGAAAUUGCUGAAAGGGAAACGCUUGAAGUCAGUCGCGUCUCCCGGGAUUCAGCCGUGCCCCUGUCGGGGCGCGGUGUACUUCCUGGCUGUGACGGGCCAGCAUCGAUUUUGGCCGUCGGAGAAAGGCCUUGGGAAUGUGGCACCUUCGGGUGUGUUAUAGCCCUGGGUCGCAUGCGACGGUCGGGAUCGAGGACCGCAGCACGUUUCUCCUUCCUUCGCGGGAAAGGGGCUCGGGGUUCGCCCACGCAAACGUUGCUUAGGAUGCU
rnacentral:rRNA from 1 species